rnacentral:rRNA from 1 species
AACGAACGCUGGCGGCAGGCCUAACACAUGCAAGUCGAGCGGACCCUUCGGGGUUAGCGGCGGACGGGUGAGUAACGCGUGGGAAUAUGCCCUUCUCUACGGAAUAGUCCUGGGAAACUGGGGGUAAUACCGUAUACGCCCUUUGGGGGAAAGAUUUAUCGGGGAAGGAUUAGCCCGCGUUGGAUUAGGUAGUUGGUGGGGUAAUGGCCUACCAAGCCGACGAUCCAUAGCUGGUUUGAGAGGAUGAUCAGCCACACUGGGACUGAGACACGGCCCAGACUCCUACGGGAGGCAGCAGUGUGGAAUCUUAGACAAUGGGGGCAACCCUGAUCUAGCCAUGCCGCGUGAGUGAUGAAGGCCUUAGGGUUGUAAAGCUCUUUCAGCUGUGAAGAUAAUGACGGUACCAGCAGAAGAAGCCCCGGCUAACUCCGUG